rnacentral:rRNA from 1 species
CCUACGGGAGGCAGCAGUGAGGAAUCUUGGUCAAUGGACGAGAGUCUGAACCAGCCAAGUAGCGUGAAGGAUGACUGCCCUAUGGGUUGUAAACUUCUUUUAUAAAGGAAUAAAACGAGGCACGUGUGCCUUUUUGCAUGUACUUUAUGAAUAAGGAUCGGCUAACUCCGUGCCAGCAGCCGCGGUAAUACGGAGGUGGCGAGCGUUAUCCGGAUUUAUUGGGUUUAAAGGGAGCGUAGAUGGGUUGUUAAGUCAGUUGUGAAAGUUUGCGGCUCAACCGUAAAAUUGCAAUUGAUACUGGCAGUCUUGAGUACAGAUGAGGUAGGCGGAAUUCGUGGUGUAGCGGUGAAAUGCGUAGAUAUCACGAAGAACCCCGAUUGCGAAGGCAGCUUACUAAACUGUGACUGACAUUGAUGCUCGAAAGUGUGGGUAGCAAACAGGAUUAGAUACCCUAGUAGUC